rnacentral:rRNA from 1 species
UUAGGAAUAUUCGGCAAUGGGCGAAAGCCUGACCGAGCAAUGCCGCGUGUGAGAUGAAGGUCCUCUGGAUUGUAAAUCACUUUUAUUAGGGAAGAACGGUAAGUAUAGGAAAUGCUACUUACGUGACGGUACCUUUUGAAUAAGCCCCGGCUAACUACGUGCCAGCAGCCGCGGUAAUACGUAGGGGCGAGCGUUAUCCGGAUUUAUUGGGCGUAAAGCGUGUGUAGGCGGUUUAUUAAGUCCGAGAUGAAAGGCUGAGGCUUAACCUCAGUUUGUUUCGGAAACUGGUAGACUAGAGUGCAGUAGAGGCAAUUGGAAUUCAUAGUGUAGCGGUAAAAUGCGUAGAUAUUAUGAGGAACAUCAGUGGCGAAGGCGAAUUGCUGGGCUGUUACUGACG